rnacentral:rRNA from 1 species
CAGCAGCCACGGGAAUACGGAGGGGGCUAGCGUUGUUCGGAAUUACUGGGCGUAAGCGCACGUAGGCGGCUUUGUAAGUCAGAGGUGAAAGCCCGGGGCUCAACCCCGGAAUUGCCUUUGAGACUGCAUCGUUUGAAUCCAGGAGAGGUGAGUGGAAUUCCGAGUGUAGAGGUGAAAUUCGUAGAUAUUCGGAAGAACACCAGUGGCGAAGGCGGCUCACUGGACUGGUAUUGACGCUGAGGUGCGAAAGCGUGGGGAGCAAACAGGAUUAGAUACCCGAGUAGUCCCUGUCUCUUAUACC